rfam:Ipomoea nil DNA, scaffold: scaffold2821, cultivar: Tokyo-kokei standard.
GUCAUGAUGGCCGAGUGGUUUAAGGCGCUAUACUAAAGUUUUGGUGUGAGGGCGUGGGUUCAAAUCCCACUUCUGACA